rnacentral:rRNA from 1 species
GAUGAACGCUGGCGGCGUGCCUAAUACAUGCAAGUCGAGCGAACGGACGAGAAGCUUGCUUCUCUGAUGUUAGCGGCGGACGGGUGAGUAACACGUGGAUAACCUACCUAUAAGACUGGGAUAACUUCGGGAAACCGGAGCUAAUACCGGAUGAUAUUUUGAACCGCAUGGUUCAAAAGUGAAAGACGGUCUUGCUGUCACUUAUAGAUGGAUCCGCGCUGCAUUAGCUAGUUGGUAAGGUAACGGCUUACCAAGGCAACGAUGCAUAGCCGACCUGAGAGGGUGAUCGGCCAAACGGGAACUGAGACACGGUCCAGACGCCUACGGGAGGCAGCAGUAGGGAAUCUUCCGCAAUGGGCGAAAGCCUGACGGAGCAACGCCGCGUGAGUGAUGAAGGUCUUCGGAUCGUAAAACUCUGUUAUUAGGGAAGAACAUAUGUGUAAGUAACUGUGCACAUCUUGACGGUACCUAAUCAGAAAGCCACGGCUAACUACGUG